GGGAUUGUAGCUCAGGUGGUUAGAGCGUACGCCUGAUAAGCGUAAGGUCGGAAGUUCAAGUCUUCUCAGUCCCACCA
rnacentral:tRNA from 1 species